UACGGGAGGCAGCAGUGAGGAAUAUUGGUCAAUGGACGAGAGUCUGAACCAGCCAAGUAGCGUGAAGGAUGACUGCCCUAUGGGUUGUAAACUUCUUUUAUAUGGGAAUAAAGUGGUCCACGUGUGGAUUUUUGUAUGUACCAUAUGAAUAAGGAUCGGCUAACUCCGUGCCAGCAGCCGCGGUAAUACGGAGGAUCCGAGCGUUAUCCGGAUUUAUUGGGUUUAAAGGGAGCGUAGGUGGACAGUUAAGUCAGUUGUGAAAGUUUGCGGCUCAACCGUAAAAUUGCAGUUGAUACUGGCUGUCUUGAGUACAGUAGAGGUGGGCGGAAUUCGUGGUGUAGCGGUGAAAUGCUUAGAUAUCACGAAGAACUCCGAUUGCGAAGGCAGCUCACUGGACUGCAACUGACACUGAUGCUCGAAAGUGUGGGUAUCAAACAGGAUUAGAUACCCUGGUAGUCCACAC
rnacentral:rRNA from 1 species